GGACCUUUAGCUCAGUAGGUUAGAGCUGGUGGCUCAUAACCGCUUGGUCGCAGGUUCGAGUCCUGCAAGGUCCA
rnacentral:tRNA from 1 species